rnacentral:rRNA from 1 species
GAUGAACGCUGGCGGCGUGCCUAAUACAUGCAAGUCGAGCGAACAGACGAGGAGCUUGCUCCUCUGACGUUAGCGGCGGACGGGUGAGUAACACGUGGAUAACCUACCUAUAAGACUGGGAUAACUUCGGGAAACCGGAGCUAAUACCGGAUAAUAUAUUGAACCGCAUGGUUCAAUAGUGAAAGACGGUUUUGCUGUCACUUAUAGAUGGAUCCGCGCCGCAUUAGCUAGUUGGUAAGGUAACGGCUUACCAAGGCAACGAUGCGUAGCCGACCAGAGAGGGUGAUCGGCCACACUGGAACUGAGACACGGUCCAGACUCCUACGGGAGGCAGCAGUAGGGAAUCUUCCGCAAUGGGCGAAAGCUUGACGGAGCAACGCCGCGUGAGUGAUGAAGGUCUUCGGAUCGUAAAACUCUGUUAUUAGGGAAGAACAAAUGUGUAAGUAACUAUGCACGUCUUGACGGUACCUAAUCAGAAAGCCACGGCUAACUACGUG